GAUGAACGCUGGCGGCGUGCCUAAUACAUGCAAGUCGAGCGAACAGACGAGGAGCUUGCUCCUCUGACGUUAGCGGCGGACGGGUGAGUAACACGUGGAUAACCUACCUAUAAGACUGGGAUAACUUCGGGAAACCGGAGCUAAUACCGGAUAAUAUAUUGAACCGCAUGGUUCAAUAGUGAAAGACGGUUUUGCUGUCACUUAUAGAUGGAUCCGCGCCGCAUUAGCUAGUUGGUAAGGUAACGGCUUACCAAGGCAACGAUGCGUAGCCGACCUGAGAGGGUGAUCGGCCACACUGGAACUGAGACACGGUCCAGACUCCUACGGGAGGCAGCAGUGGGGAAUCUUCGGCAAUGGGCGAAAGCCUGACGGAGCAACGCCGCGUGAGUGAUGAAGGUCUUCGGAUCGUAAAACUCUGUUAUUAGGGAAGAACAAAUGUGUAAGUAACUAUGGACGUCUUGACGGUACCUAAUCAGAAAGCCACGGCUAACUACGUG
rnacentral:rRNA from 1 species